UCUUAGUGGCGGACGGGUGAGUAACGCGUGGGUAACCUGCCCAUUAAGCCGGGACAACCCUUGGAAACGAGGGCUAAUACCGGAUGAGCUUAAGGGUUGGCAUCAACUUUUAAGGAAAGAUGGCCUCUGAACAUGCUAUCGAUAAUGGAUGGACCCGCGUCUGAUUAGCUAGUUGGUGGGGUAAAGGCCUACCAAGGCGACGAUCAGUAGCCGGCCUGAGAGGGUGAACGGCCACACUGGGACUGAGACACGGCCCAGACUCCUACGGGAGGCAGCAGUGGGGAAUCUUCCGCAAUGGACGAAAGUCUGACGGAGCAACGCCGCGUGUAUGAUGAAGGUCUUCGGAUUGUAAAGUACUGUCUUUAGGGAAGAACGGUCUUUUUGAGAAUAUUGAGGAGACAUGACGGUACCUAAGGAGGAAGCCCCGGCUAACUACGUGCCAGCAGCCGCGGUAAUACGUAGGGGGCAAGCGUUGUCCGGAAUUAUUGGGCGUAAAGGGCGCGUAGGCGGGUACUUAAGUCCGGUGUG
rnacentral:rRNA from 1 species